rnacentral:lncRNA from 1 species
AAAAAACUGCUUUCCCCAUUUUUUCUCUAAAAAGGGUUUGGGGCUGGCCAAAAGGGUUCAAUGGCUCUCCGUCGUGGCCCCGCCGUGAACGACAGUUAGAGACACGCGGAUCUGGCCCUUUUUUAAGCCCUUUCCAAACCCUUUCCCUUUUUCUCUUUAAAUAAAAAAUAAAAAAAAAAUCUAGAUCUAGGAUAUUCAAAACGAAAAUAAGAGAGAAAAAGAGGGAAAAAAAUGUAAAUAGCGAAGGGAAGCCUUCAUUUUCGUUGCUUUUUCGACCCUCAUCGGAACCCGAAUGGGUUUUAUGAAAUUUGGAUUGCCGGAAAUCCCCACAAUGAAGGAAGACGCGCCUAAAGGUAGGAUUUUUAUCCUUUUCUACACAUUCAUUCCAAAAUAAGAAAUAAAAAUAGUAAAAAUAAAAUUAAAUAGAUCUUUGAAACUUUUGUUCUUUUGAUUCUGAUGAUUAUAUAUUUUCGUGUAUUCUCUCUGUAACCAAAAAAUACAACCUUGUAUGGCUUUAUAUAGCCGAAAUAAAAAGAAAGAAAAAUACAUUCUUUUUGCCAUUUUGUGCUAUUAUUUUAGCCUGAUUUGCAGGUACAAGGCGAUGUAGAGGCGUACGGGCGUGCUAACGUGGCGAGGUGGUCGUGGUUGCGGCGCAAGGAGGCCAUACAUGGAGUAGUUGGCUGCGGCACAAGGGCUAGGGUUUGCUGCAAACAUGGUUUGAGCUUUGGGCUAUUUGGGCCAAUGUAAUUGGGUCUUAGGGUUUUAUUAGUUUUGGGUUUUAAAUUGGGCUUUCCAUAUUGUAAUGGACUGUAUGAAAAUUUGGGCUUUUAUUUCUGUUUAUUAUUUUUUGUGGGUCUUAGGCCAGGGCGAAAUUGGGCCUCUACACAAGGAAUGAAAAUCCAAUUUGUGUUUAUUGAAGGUCUAAGAUGAAGGAAGGACUUAAAACUAAAGGCUUUUAAGAAGUCAUAAUUUGGUUUGCUUGCGAACAACAUCCCAUGAGGAUUAUUAUUGUGAAUAACUUUAGUGGCUGUCGGUUCAUGAUGAACACAGUUGAAUAGAAUGCAUAAUUGUAGAAGGUUAAAGGAUUGAAGGUUGUGUAAGCAAUGUGAGCCCAAUCUCAACAACUUGGCAACUAAGCUAUUUUAAGAAGGUGUUUGAUGGCAUAUUAAUCUAUGAAUAAUACAAUUAUACAGAAAAUAACGUUUUAAGGUUCUAAACUUUCCA